ensembl:rRNA 5S_rRNA 5S ribosomal RNA
GUCUACGGCCAUAUCACCCAGAAUGCGCCAGAUCUCUUCUGAUCUCAGAAGUUAAGCAGGGUCGGGCCUGGUUAGUACUUGGAAGGGAGAAAGAAUCACUAAUCUAAAUGUAAUUA